CUCACAGGUGAGUGGCAGGCUAUUUUUAUUCACAAGGGUAACAGCUUUCCUACUGGGAGUUAUCAUGAGGAGGCCAACCCUUGUUAGCUGGCUUGCAUUCCCAUCAUUGGCAUUGUACCUGAAAGCACAAGCCUCAGCCUCCAAAAAUGUGGCUGUGUGUCAGAGCUCCUGCCCUGAGGCAAGUGUUCAAUCAGAUAAUUUGUCCUGCCUGUUCCAAGUUGAUCCAUGCUUUGCUGGCCUCUGUGUGUUAGAAAAAAGAUUUUCACACUCCUUUUGCUGUGGAGCUGGAACAUCUUUGGGCAUACCUGUAAUUUUCAGUGGAGUAAGGUUUAUGGAUCAGAGAUUGUCCCUUAUCUGUGUUUUCCUAUAAGAGACCUCUCUGUGGCUGAUCAACCUGCUGGAUCCUGUUCAGAGGAGGCCACAAAGAUGAUCAGAGGGCUGAAGCAGCUCUGCUAUGAAGACAGGCUUAGGAGGGUUGGAGUUGUUCAGCCUGGAGAAGGGAAGGCUCUGGAGAGACCUUACACCAAUACCUAAAGGAUGUCAACAGGAAAACUGGAGAGGGAAUUUUGGCAGGACCUGUUGUGAUAGGACAGGGGUUAGAGGUUUUAAACUAAGAGGUUUGUUCUAGAUUGGAUACAGGGAAGGAAAGGAGUCUUAUUUAGAAUGAGGAUGGUGAAACACUGGAACAGGUUACCUAGAGAGGUGGUGGGUGCCCCACCCCUGGAAGCAUUCAGGGAUAGGCUGGAUGAGGCUCUGAGCAAUACAAUCUAGUUCAAGGUGCCCCUGGUCAUUGCAAGGACAUUGGACUGGGUUGACCCCUAAAGGUCCCUUCCAAGCCAAACCAUGAUUCUGUGAGGCCUCUAAGGAGCCUCUAAGGCCUCUCUACUUUACACUAUAAAACUGUUCCCAGUUGCUGGAGGAUUUUUCCUUAUGGAUUUUCAGUGGAAAGCUGGGAAAGUUGGCAACAGUUUGCUUGCUUUUCUGUUUCCCUCUCAUUUCUUGCCCCCCUGCGUAUUGCUGCCAUUACCCAUCAAAGCAUCAGGCUGAGUCAGAUGUAGAAAAUGAGAUGAAAAAUUCAGGGUGAUGGAUGGGUGGCAGCCAAAAUGACUUUUUCUAUCCAUCCAUUCCCUAAAGCUGCAAUAGUAGCUCAGAGGCUGUGCCUCACGACUUCAUCCCUCCCUGCUGAGGGGAGAUGGGAACAUCAUUAUCAGCUGCCGAUGAUUUGGAGCCAGCAGUGAAAAUGUCCUCGGAUGUAGGGCUCCUCCUCCGCCCCAAGGGUGACUCGAACCUGCUGGGAAGAUGGAGGAAGAGCUGGAGGGGGGAGAUGAGAAGAAAGAGGUGCAAAUUCAACCACGUCUCUAUGAUGAUGUCAUGGCAACAAGCUACAGCCGUUCCUUGGGGCCUUGUGUCUGAAACGUGAGUCCGGACUGAAUUCAGCAAACUUCCCGGAGCAAGACGCUGUGUUCCCCCACCCAGGGAAGCCAUCUGCUCCUCUCCACCAGCUCCUUCUGCGGGGCUCCGGGCUCGCCAGCCGGGCUGGAAAGCUCUCCUCCUCCUCCUCCUCCUCCUCCUCGCUUGCCCCGGCUCUCCCCGGCCAUCUUGCUAGCAGAAGGCUGGGGAACGCGGGGCUGGCUGGAUCUGGGGCGGUGAUGGUGUCAGCCGGAGGCGGUUUCCAGGCAACUGUGGCGCCGUGGGACACGGAGCCAAGAACGCCGGGAACAGCGCGUUCCCGGGCGGGGAGCGGGACACGCGCGGAGCGAGCCGCGCAGGGAUGGCGGCACAGGAGAGCAGGGGGCUGCAGAGCAUCCCCUCCUGCCCGCUGAUCAUCGUACCCGCCCCGGCUGGGAGCGAGCAUUUCCGAGCUGGCUGCUGGUGCAUCACGCGAUAAGGAAGGGCUGCGUGAUGUACGGGAUUUCACGUGUCUUCUGCAUCCCUUGGAGGAUCAAAGGGAAAAGAAACAUUGUGCCAGACUGUAC